AAAUUGCUGGAAAUAUGCAAGCCAUAACGUGAAUUUUGGCUUUAUGCCCUCUCCAAGCUUGCUUCUUUUUAUCCUCAGCAUGUACUUGUAUUUUCUGUAAGAUGUCAUUCUUUAAAACGAUACUUGAUUGCCUGGUACAUGUUUCUAGACACUCACUUUUAUAUAUUUGGUGUUUCAUAGGUCUUUCCUCUGUGGUGGAUCAACUGGCCUGUUCAUUUAUGGCUAUUGCUUGUAUUACUACUAUGCCAGAUCAGAUAUGUCCGGCUUCAUGCAAACCUCAUUUUUCUUUGGCUACAUGGCCUGUGUUUGUUACGGUUUCUUCCUCAUGCUUGGAACCAUUGGUUUCCGUGCUUCCUUGUUCUUUGUCCGCCACAUCUACCGCUCAAUCAAGUGCGAGUAGGAAGUCAUAUGGUCUUCCUUAUGUUCAGUGAGUAGGCUGCCUUCCUUUCUUUGAAUACACUUAAUUGAAGGCAACUCCGCGUGUUUGUAUUGAUGAAGGUGGUUUUAUAACGUGCCAUGUUACAGGAGAAGCCACAGUUGGCUGGGAAAACUUGUUCUGGGAUUGCAGGAGCUUUAUGCUACUCUUGGAGGAGGAUGGCACGUUCCAUGGAGGACUUCUGUAAUAGCCUUUUUUAUAUAUAGGAGAGGAACAUGUAGGGCUUUAGAAUGCUGUUAAAGAAUUUGCAGUGCUUCAAUGUGAGAUAAUCCAUCAUUUUGAAUGUAUUCUAUCACUGUUAGAAGCCGUAGAGUUUGUGUUAUUGGUAGCAGUACUUCGAAAAUUCUUGUCUCCACAAUUUAUUAUAGUUGCAAAUACAUGUUCUGUCAUUUAUUCUCAUAGGCUGGACUAGAAAACUUGAGUAUGAGGAUCGACUGUUUUGUUUUUGGUUCUAGGGGAAACAUGACUGUUCAUCUUUCUAAUUUCACUAUUUAUGUUUCAAUUUAAUGAUCCAAAUUAGCUGAGAAAAAAAAAUCAAGGUAGCUUCUGGAUGCCAUCAAAAGAGAUGAAUGAAGGUCGUGGAGACUGAGAGGACAUGUCAUGUAGAUGGAGUCAUGGAACCAUAACAGGACAGUAACAAGCCCAGAAUGACAGAAGUUAGCCCGAAUUAGGGUUAAACACAAACUUUAAAAUUUUAUUUUAUUUCUCAAUUAAUAAGUCUGCUAAAGAAGUUUGUGGUGCUUUUUAUAGGUUAGAAAAAUCGAUAUGGACUAGGAAACAAAAGUCAGAAUCCUUAGAUACAAAGAAAAAUAGCAUAAAAUCUUAGACAAAUGAUAAAAAUAAAAAUAUUUAGAAAAAAUAAAAAAAUUAGCCUAGCAUUGAUAAUUGACCCAAAGACUUUGUAUAUGAAAACUGCUUGUAAAAUUAUAUGGAGAAAUCUGAAUUAUUUGGAGAAAUUUAAUUUGAUUAAACAGGUAAAUAUUUUGUUAUUUUAGUUUUAAAUUAUUAUUCUAAUCUAGUAUGAUGAAGUCUUGUCUAGAGUCUAAACUUAUUCCAAUACUUUAUAAAAACAUAUAUUAAAUAAUUUAAAUGGUAUAUUUUAGCUAAAUCCUCAAAUAACUUAUAAAACCUUUAAUCUCUUAAAACCCGGUUGCAUCAAAUUAUUUUUUUAAAUUAUAAAAAAAUUAUUUUAAAACUAAACGUAAUUAUUUUAUGUUUUUGCAAACUUUUCAACAUAAAUUUCUCAAGAUUGUCAAUUUUCUUCAAUUAUUGCAGUUAUUUUUUGCCUAUUUUAGUAGGAUGAAGACUUUUGAUAUUAUGUUAAUGAAAGCUUUGGUCAAAGGGACAGAUCACCAUUUGAUGGUGUUUAAGGCAAAUACAUUCUCUUUUUUCUUGGAGAAAAUCUAUAUGAAAAUUGCUUAUUCAAUCAAUUGGAGAAAUUUAAAUCUGAUUUAACAGAUGAAUCUUUUGUUAUUAUAAUUUUAAGUUAUUAUUUUAGUCUAACAUGAUAAAGUUUUCUUUUAGAUCUAAAUAUGUUCCACAUCUUAUAUCAUUUAUAUAGUAUAUUUAGAGCAAGACCUCAAAUAAUUUAUCAAAAUUUUUAAUUUUUGAAAACUUUUGAACCUGUAAAUCUUUUUUUGAAUAAUAAAAUUUUAUUUUAAAACUAAAAAUAAUUAUUUUAUGUUUUCGCAAACUUUUCAACAUAAAUUUCUCCAAUUGAUUGUUAAUUUCUUCGAUUAUUUUUUUAUUUAUUUUAAUAAGAUAAAAACUUUGAUAUUAUGUUAAAAAAUAUUUUGGUGAAAGGGACAGGUCACCAUUUGAUGGUCAUUGAGGCAAAUACAUUAUCCUUUAUUUUUUUAUUUUUAUUUUUAGAGGCAAACUCAGGGUAAAAACUAAAAAGGGGUAUGGCAAUUAAAGCUAGUCUUUUCUUUUAUUUUAUUUGCCCUAGUUUUCUUGGUCAGUUAGCCAUAUUUUAUCAUGCAUAUUUUAACAGAAAUGUAUGGUCCGUUCUAAGACCAACAAAAACAUUGCAAUAAGAUUUAAACUAACAUCAACUUCUAUUAAUUCGUAAAAGAAAAUUAUUUGUUAUUUAGAAAAUUAGAAACAAGAUAAAAAAAAAAAAUACCUAAGCAAAUAUAAUUGCUUAUUACAACAUUUCGGUUUUGCUAUUAGAUUUGAAUUUAAUUGAUUAUCUUCAUUAUUUUAUUCAAAUUUAAUAAUAUAUCAUUUAUCAAUAGUCUAAGUCUCAUAUCCUUAACAUGUUAUUUUUAUUAUUUUAUUUAAAUUUAAUAAUAUAUCAUUUAUUAAUGAUACAAGUCAUGAAUUUAACAAGUAAAAUCGCGUAUUAAUAAGAAAAUUCAAACUAUAAUUUUAAAAAAUAAAAAGGUAUCAUUUAACUAUAUUAAAAAAAAACUGUUUCACAGUAAAACACGUCUCGAAUCAAAUUCCAGUUCAGCAAAUUAUUGAAUUGACUUGUUAAAUAGAGUUUUAUAACUAUAUUUAACACUAGUCUUGAAUAGUGAGGGGGGAAUUAUAAAUUGAAAGCAGUUUUGACUAAUGAACAGGCAUCACACGACAUAGAUUACGAUUCAAAUAAAAAUAAGAACAGAUUAGAAAUUAAAAGACUGGAUCAAUCAAACCUUCAUCAAAUAACUACUAAUUAACAAGGUCGCUUGCGUUCUUAACACACAAAGUGAUUUCUUUCUGUUUUUUUAGUCUUUUGACCUGACCUCCAUGCUUCAAUUGCAUGGAAAAUAGCCAUGACAACCACGCCAUGGAAAAGAUAGCAGAUCAAAGUGAAAGCAAUGAACCACAGAAGCUAGCACAGACCUCAGAAUUAACCACAAGUAGAUGACAUGGCAAUUUCGAUAUCUAGGGUUGUUGGGUUGUGAAGUUGUAAUACUUGGCAUCCAAGCAAUCACUCGCCUUCAAAGUUUGGAGUGUUCCUUCCAUUUCACUCUUCUUAUGUCUGUGUUGGGAUCUAAUCUAAGUGAAGUCAACCCUCUUCUUCAUAUUCGAAGGGUAUAAUUUAUUGCUAUGCAUUGGAAAGAUAGGCCUAGUUUUAUUUUAUUUUAUUUUAAAUUGAUCCCAUAUAUUAUCAAGUCACAAAGCAUAGAUAUAACUAGAUUAUUAACUUUCAUCGUGCUAUUGCGGUUGAAUCAAUUUUUUUUAAUAAAAGAAUUUAUUCAAGCAUUAUUAACAUAUUUUCUAAUAAAAUUUUUUUUAAUCAUAAACUCAAAUUAUAAUAUAUAUUAGACAACAUAUUUUUUAAAAAUUAAUAUGAUAAUCUAUUACAUGGAAUUUAAAAAAGUAUAUUAAAAUUACAACAUAUUAAAUUGACAAAAAAAACAAAUAUUGAGAUUAAUAUAUAACUAAAAGAAAAUAAAUAAAUAGAAAAUUAUUAAACACAAUUUCUAAAACAAUUAAAUAUUAAAUGAUAAAACUAAAAAGAAAAAAACUAAAUAAAAAAAAAGAACAAGAAGAUUGGAUUGUUGAAAGGUUAAAUUGAAGAAAAAGAGAUAAACAAAAAAAGCAAAAACAAAAAUGCAAAACAUUGUUCUAAUUAAUAAUGUUUUGUGGAUGUGACGAUAGUAAUUUAGUCAUUCUUUCUAGUGUUUUGUUAAUAAAAAGAGGUUGAAUGAGGAAUUCAUAAAUGAGGUUGAAAUAAUAUAAUAUAUAUAUAUAUAUAUAUAUAUUAUCAUGAUUAAUUUCAAAAUAAGGGAUGCAUUAGGAUUUUUAGAAAAAUUAUUUAUUUUCUUAAUUGUUUUCUAUUUAGUUUAUAAAAGUAAGUACUAUGCUUAAUAAUUUUAUUUUUUCUUAGUUAGUUUAAGACUUUUAUUGUUUUUCCUUUGUCUUUGAGUUUUAUAGUGUUUUGAGGUUAGUUUUUGGAUUUUGUAUAAAAAGUUGUAAGUCUAGUGGAGAGGUAAACUAUUUAAAAAUAAAUAUUGAAUAAUAAGAUUGUGAGUUACGGUUUCUUUGUGUUCCCUUCUUUUGAGAAUCAUAUGUUUUUUGUGCUUAUUAUAUUUUUUGUAUUCUUUCCUUCCGCAUCAAUUGGUUUUAGAAUCUAAUCAUCCUAAUAAUUAUUUUCUUGUUUGUGCUGGAUUAACAUGGAUUGAAGAGAUAAUAGAAAAAAUAUGCUUAUAAGACAUUUAGCGACAUAUUGAAAAAUUGAAAGGAGGUGUUUAGGAUAUGGUGAUAGAAAACAUAUAGAGACAAAUUACAAAAUCAACUUAUUUAUUGGGAAGGUUGAGGAGCCUGAGAGAUCAUGAAGAGAGUGAUUGUUGAUCCAUGUCUAAUUUUAAGAACUAUUUUAGAGGCUUGAACAGAGAAAACAAGUUAUUAAUCUGAAUAAGAAUGAUUGUAGUUCUCUUAUGAAUUGGAAUCAAACAUCAAAUUUUGAUGAGAAUGUUGAAAGUGAUGCUGAAGGAUGUGCAUCAAAUUUAUUUGAGGAGGACUUUAGAAUUGAUAAGAUCAAAGUUGAUGUUAUUGUAUUUUGAUAAAAGUUGUGAGAUAUAUUUUCAAAUCUUCUCCUAACACUAAAAUGGUCCCAUUAUUAGGAAAGCUGAGCAUGUUGAUAUGAUGAUUUUAGUAAAAAGAUCAAGCAUGUAAAUAUUGAAAACUCUUGAUUGAACGUCCGUAAAAUCAAGACAAACACAAAUUAAACUUGAGGAGGAGUUCUUUCCAAUCUAGAAAAACUGAUAUAAAAGGAUUUUUUUAAUAUUUUUUGUUUUCUUAGUUAUUAUUUUUUUAAUUAAUUCAUAAUUAGUUUUAAUAUUAAUUAUUAUGAUUAAUGAUUUUAUUUUUUGUAAUUUGAUUAUGAUUUUUAUUGCUUUUUCUUAUUUCCAAGUUUUCUAUUUUGUUUAGAUUAUUUAAAGAAUUGUAAAUCUUUUAGAGGGGUAGACUAUUCAAAAAGAAAUAUUCAAUAAUAAGAUUGUUAAUUAGGGUUUAUGUGUAAUCCAUUCUUUUGAAAUUUUGUGUUUUUGUACUUAUUAUCUUUUUUUAUAUUAUUUUUUCAAUAAGUUAAAUUUUAUAAACACUAAAAUAAAUAAAAAAUUUGUGGGAUGCUAAAUACCAAAUUAUUUUGAAAAAUAAAGGUUGUUCGUAUCAUUCAUGUUUUUGAAAACCAAAAUUUAAAACUUUUUUCCGUUUGUUUUUUUAAAAUAAAAUUUCUAUAAUUUUGACAAAGCCUGCUAGUUUUGCAUUUAAAAAAAAUUAAUUAAUUUUUUGUUUGAAGAUAAAACAAAAAACAAAAACAGUAAGAUUAAAAUAAUGGUUGAUUAUUGUUUUAAAACAGAAAAAAUAAAAAUAAAAGAGACAUGUUAUUUUAUACCUCAUGUUUGAAUAAAUUUAUUUUAAUUUAUUUUAAAAAUUAUUUAUUUAUGUACUUGUUUUUAUUUCUCUAAUAAAAUAUGUUUUUAUCUUUUUAUAUUUAUUUAUUAUAUUCUAGGAUAUUAACAAGAUAAAACUCAAAUAAAAUCAAACAACAUCUAAUAAUUUAAGAGUUAAAGCUGAAAAUUCUCAAAACUUCUAGGAUGGCGCAUGGACUUCCAAAGCAAAACCUCGUUUAUAGUGGUCAUAAUUCUUUUUUUCAUGAACGCAUUUAAGAAUAAAAAUAAUUAUUUUUUAAUUACUCUCCUAAUCUCUUUCUCGUUAUUUGAGGAAGGCCUCAAUUUUGACACGAACCAUUUUAGAUUUGUUGGAACCACAACCCAUAAAGUCUCCAUCUUUAUAAAUCUCUCUCCUCUCUCUCUCACCCCAUAACUAUCUAACUCUCUCUUCUCUUUUUGUGAGUUACAGUGAUUGAAAAUGGAGAAGCAACUAGUGCCUUGUUUGGUUUCAUUUGUUUUGAUAUUGUGCAGCGUGUCCCAUGUUAGAUCAGAUGCAUCUGAUCAUCGUUACAAAGUUGGAGAUGAUGUCCCUCUCUAUGUUAACAAGGUUGGACCUUUUCACAAUCCCAGGUAAUCCAAUUCUCGAUCUUUCUUGCUGUUUAACAAGGUUUUGUGGUGUGUCUUCAAGUUUGUGACUUUUGAUGAUUUAGGAAGUUGGGGUAUGUGGGAUAUGGAUUAGAAAUGGAAUUGUGGAGUUGGGUUUUGGAUAAUUUGAUUUUAGCAUUAACGUGUCAGAUUCUGUGGAAUCCUUUUUUUUUGGUUUUAUGGAUUGGUUUCUUCAAUUGUUGUGGAUCUGAGCUUAUGGGAAGUGGAUCUUAUGAUUUGGUUUCCUAAAAAGGAAGAUCAAAGAUUGGAACUUGGAGUUUAACAUGAAAAUGCUGUUGAUGUCACUUAGUUGCUAAUUAAGUUGGAAAUUUAGCAUAGCUUAAUGGUUGUACAAGGAGUUGGUCUAGUGGAUCCCUGGGGAGAUAGUUGAGGAAAUGCUUAAUGGGAUUUUGGAAUGCAAGCUUUUGGAUAGAAACAUUUGCACGUAAGUAGAGUCUGUUAGUUAAAGCCCAGAAUAAUGUCCAGUGACUGGGUGUAGAUUUCUGUUUCUGGUUGUUUCUUGUGAGCUGGAAAAGUUCAAGUAUUGGGUUUUCCUUUGUUAUUGCUGAACUUGGAUCUCAGUUUUAGAUCUUUAAUCAGUCGCUGGAACUCUUUUUCUGUAAUCGUACAUGAAAUUAUGCCGGAACUUAAUUGAUAUUUACUGUGGUCAUCUCUAGACUUUCGGUUUUCAUUUUGAGAUUUUAACUGUUCAACUGUGAAAACUUUCGUUAGUAUUUUUUUAUUCAUAAUUGUUUGAUAUUGUUUCUUUCUUGUUCAUUCUGUCAGUGAAACAUACCGCUACUUUGAUCUGCCUUUCUGCUCAUCAGGUCUGCAUCAAUUCACAUUACUCCUACUAUAAAGCUUUGUUUUAUUGUGGAAGUUUACUGACGAUGUUUAAUACAGGUCCUACAAAGGACAAGAAAGAAGCCCUUGGUGAAGUGUUGAAUGGGGAUCGUUUAGUCACUGCCCCAUACAAACUUGAAUUUUUAAAUGACAAAGAUUCUGAAGUUGCAUGCAAAAACACGCUGACAAAGGAACAAGUUGCUCAGUUCCGAGAAGCAGUUUCCAAGGACUACUACUUCCAAAUGUAUUAUGAUGACUUGCCCAUUUGGGGUUUCUUAGGGAAAGUUGAUAAGGAACGCAAGAAUGACCCUAGUGAAUACAAAUAUUACCUGUUUAAGCAUCUUCACUUUACCAUCUUUUACAAUAAGGAUCGUGUCAUUGAGAUCUCUGCACAAUCUGAUCUGAACAAUGUUGUGGACCUUACUGAAGAUAAAGAGGUCAAUGUGGAGUUCAUGUAUUCAGUUAAAUGGAAGGAAACAGAUAUAACAUUUGAGAAAAGGAUGGACAAGUAUUCACAAUCUUCUUCACUUCCUCAUCACUUGGAAAUUCAUUGGUUCUCAAUUAUUAACUCAUGUGUGACAGUUCUCCUGUUGACUGGUUUUCUUGCCACAAUUCUCAUGCGAGUCCUGAAGAAUGAUUUUGUCAAGUGAGAAGAACAUUUCAAUGAAUAUGUUAUUAAAACAUGUCUGCUUAUGUUGUUUAAACUGUCAUUUUCUUAUUUUUUUGAUCUUCCCAUUUGUAAUAGAUAUGCUCAUGAUGAGGAGUCAGCUGAAGACCAAGAAGAGACUGGGUGGAAGUACAUCCAUGGUGAUGUAUUUAGAUAUCCAAAGUAUAAGUCUUUGCUUGCAGCAGCAGUUGGCUCUGGCACCCAGCUGUUUACCCUGUAAGUUCAACUUCAAAGCUGUGCUUUUGUUGGUUUUGUCUCAAAUCCAUUUUUUAAAGUUAUUCUGUUGCUUAGCAGUCUGCUAACUUUGCUUACAUAUGUGCAUUGGCAGCACAAUUUUCAUUUUCGUGCUUGCUCUAGUUGGUGUCUUUUAUCCUUAUAAUCGUGGAGCUCUGUUUACUGCACUGGUUGUCAUAUAUGCUCUGACAGCUGGGAUUGCAGGCUACACUGCAGCCUCUUUCUUUUGCCAACUGGAAGGAACAAAUUGGGUAACUUGUUAAGAAUUCCUUUUUCAUUGCCUUUUGCACUUAUCAUUGUCAUUGUUUUGUGUGUUCUAGACAACUGUUGUUACUGUGUGUCUAAGGAUGUUGUAGUUGGUAUCAAAUUUGGUAAAUGGAUAUAUAGGAAUUCUCAGUGUUUCUUUGAAAUGUGUUUUGCUUUAAGAUAAAUGCUUGGUGAAAAUUGACUUUUGUCAGAAUCAAUUUGGUUUUCCUAUAAACACUUUGUGGAAAUUGUCCGAAACAUGGAAAUGGGGGUCAAAACCACCUUGUGUUUGGAUAAUGUUUUCCUCUCUUAUAAUAGCUGAACUAAUAGGGAUGCGAAAGAGAAGCUUGAGAAAGCAGUGAAAGAAAACAAUGUGCUUGAAAGUUGGUGUACUGCUUCCUGAAGGCUUGCGCUACACUUGAAAAGCUAACCUCAGAAGACGAUAAAUUAGAGCUCAACAGUUCACAGUUGCUUCUAAUAAAUUUACAUACAUUGAAACUAAGUAAUUGUAGAAUUGGAUACGAGUGCAAUUGACUAUUUUGUGCUGGUUGUGGCUUUAUGAAAAUUAGCAUGGUUUGCAUUCAUUAGUAUUAUGAUAGUGACGUUAAUUGAUCAUUAUUAGAAUGAUGUAAUCACUUUUCAGCAGCAUUGUUUGAAUCCAUGAUGUCUUAUGCUCUAUCAUUGCAGAACUUCUAGCUACUCUAGAAACUACCAUUCAACUUUGAGACAUGCUAGGCUAAGAAGUUCUGAAAUUCUGGUUUUGCAGGUCAGGAACUUGUUGCUAACUGGAGCCCUGUUUUGUGGACCCCUGUUUCUCACUUUCUGCUUUCUUAAUACCGUUGCAAUCACGUAUAGUGCCACUGCAGCAUUGCCAUUUGGAACAAUAGUGGUGAUAUUUCUUAUUUGGGCUCUGGUAACAACACCAUUGCUGGUACUGGGUGGGAUUGCAGGGAAGAAUAGCAAGGCUGAGUUUCAGGCUCCCGUCCGCACCACUAAAUACCCCAGAGAGAUUCCUCAGUUGCCUUGGUAUCGGAAAACAGUUCCUCAGAUGGCCAUGGCAGGAUUCUUGCCUUUCAGUGCAAUAUAUAUUGAACUUUACUACAUAUUUGCCAGUGUUUGGGGUCACAGGAUCUACACCAUAUACAGCAUCUUGUUCAUUGUCUUCAUCAUUCUCUUGAUUGUCACUGCUUUUAUAACAGUGGCGUUGACAUAUUUCCAACUUGCUGCUGAAGACCAUGAGUGGUGGUGGAGGUAUGUUUUUUUUUUUGAUAGAUAUAAUUUCAUGUGAAAUGCUAAUAUCUCUGAGCUUAUUGUUUCAAUUUUGCAUCAUUAUCAGCACAAAUAAAAUAUCUGGGAAGUUUUGCUCGCAAAUAACAUUCUUUAGUUUUGUUUUUUGGUUUCCAACUUUUUGUGAAAUGGUAGCAGAUUGUGUUUUUUCAUUCUAUGUUUUCACUCUUGAGAUGUUAUUUAAAUUACUCGAAAUAUUCAAGUCACAAUGUAAUUUUUUCAUCAUCGGGUUCCUGUUAUGAAUUUUCCUGAUGUAACGGUCUCCUAGCUUGUUUUUUUUUUCAUCCAUUGCAUGAAUUUUCCUUGUGUUUUCUGAAGUGUCGUGUUUUAAAAGGAUAUCUGAUUGCCUGAUUCAUAAUGCUACACACUUACCUCUCUGAAUUUGGUGUUCGUCAGGUCGUUCCUUUGUGGUGGAUCAACUGGAUUGUUCAUUUAUGGCUAUUGCUUGUAUUACUACUAUGCAAGAUCAGACAUGUCAGGCUUCAUGCAAACCUCCUUUUUCUUUGGCUACAUGGCCUGUGUUUGCUAUGGUUUUUUCCUCAUGCUUGGCAGUAUUGGGUUCCGUGCCUCCUUGUUUUUUGUCCGCCACAUUUACCGUUCAAUCAAGUGCGAAUAGCAAGCCAUGUCAUCUUC
rnacentral:lncRNA from 1 species